UCUAGGACUCUUUUUUGAAGACAUAAGAUCUUGUGAGUCCUCGAAUCCUUGUGAUGCCAAAUAAGAUCAUGCUACAAUUUUGCAAAUGCAUAUAUGUGAUGCCUUCGUAUUCAGUGAGAAUUUGUUCUAUUUCUAACAAAAGUCAAAUACCAAGGUAUUGAUAAUGUAAUUCAAUUUUAUUUUCGUUUAUUCUUUAGAGUAUAUUUUCAUGAAUCAAUAUCAAAAUAAUUUUGAUUUGUGAUAUUAAUAGUGAAAUUUUAUUCAUCAUAUUUAAUUUUGUUCCUUAUUUGUUAAUGUGAUGGUGAAAACGCUUUUUAAUGUGAUGUUGUUCUUUAGGUAUACUUUUUAUCUUUAAGUUUUACAUUAUUUUUUUUAUAAAAGUUCUAUGAAUCUUAAUCUUAAUAAAUAAGACUCCAAAAUAAAAGGCCUACACUUGACAGAAAGGACAACUUGAAGGAGAAUGGUGGCAGCGUGUCCAACAACGUGAAGGAGAAUAGUGGCAUAAAAAAAUCCUUAACCCGUUGGAAUUAAUUUAGGAUUAGCGAUAUAAUUGGAUUAGUUUGUAGAGUUAAUUCUUAUACUAACUAAAUUUAUGGCUUUAUAUAUUAAAGUCAUUUACAUUAGUGACACUUUAGGUUUAGGACUAUAUAUUCUAUCGAAAUUGUCGUGAGGUACAAAGAUAAUGUUUUUUGUAAUUUUUGUUAUGUUACUAUCGAUUAUUUUUUGCUUAAUUCAGGUAAUAGAUGAUUGUUUGAUCAGCCUUUGAUAAUUUUUUGCGUAAAAGUUAAAUUUAAUCAUAUUAUAUAUAUAUAUAUUUUAAUUAUUAUUUAUUUAUUAUUAUUAUAUUUUAAGUGUCCAUACACAUGAAAAUUUUACUUAUUUUCUGCAGCUUUUGGUUUUCUUGAUUGCUUUUCUUCUCCAAUGAUUCAAUUUUAUGCCAAUUGACAAAUUAAUCCGUUUAUAUCAACAUCAUAUGUAGAUGUAAUACUUUUUCCUUUUUAGCUAAUGUAGAUGUUAUACAAUGUUAACAAGAAUUAAUGACAAAGUUGAUAUAAAAUAAAAUUAAUAACAAAAGUUGAAUAAAACUUCAUAUGUUAUUUCAUUCUUUGUUUUUGUCUCUAUAAAUAACAUUUGAUUUUUUUUUUCUUUUUAGAUUUUGAUUCCCAUUUUUAAGUCACUACAAAGUCAAGAAUUCGAGAUCCCAAAUUAUUUAAUGAUCAAUGAUAUGAAUUUUACUGAUACUCACUAUAUAUUGUUUGGUGACUGCAUCAAGCUCGAUAUUCUUGGCAAUUCGUAAUUUACUCUUAACUAUAGUUAUCUCUCAAUAUAUUUUUCUCCUCUGUCAAUUUUUCUGUAUAUUGUUAUCUAAAGUAUUAGGUUGUGAAGUUUGAAUGAAUUGAAGAUAUAAUGACGUGUAAUUUUUUUCUGCGAUGCGUUUGAAAAAUUAUUUGCAUUUUUCUUGCAGGUGAAAGUAACUUGCAUAUUUUAUAACUUUAUUGGUUGGAUGAUCCACUUGAUUUGUUGUUGUUGUUUUUGUAUUAAUAAGAUGAUCCUACCUAUUGUGCAAGCACACAACUUAAGAUUUCAAGCAAUAAAGGGAUGUCGGAGCUAAAGUAUGAUUACCAUCAAUUUAACUUCUUCUGGGAGAAAGUCUUUGAAAAAGUACACUGAUUAGUUGUGAUAACGGGAUUUGAAUGUGGUAACAAAUCUAUUUUUAUUUGACAG
rnacentral:lncRNA from 1 species